CCUGGGGCAGAUAGCACCAGCAGGAAGGAAUGCCAUCCCAGUGAGCUAGUGGGGCCCAGGGGCAACGUCACGCUAGUCCCACCUCCUUGCUGUCACAGGUGCAGCCUGUCUUGUCCUUCCCCUGACCAACCCAGCAUCCACACAGUCUACACAGAGUUCCUCUUGCUGCCCAGACAAGCUAAAGGACCACAGGAAAAGCCAUGGAGACUUCAGCAUCACCCUCCCAGCCUCAAGAUAACAGUCAAGUCCACAGAGAAACAGAAGAUCUAGACUAUGGAGAGACAGAUUUCCACAAGCAAGAUGGGAAGGCUGGACUAUUUUCCCAAGAACAAUAUGAGAGAGACAAGUCUUCUUCCUCCUCCUCCUCUUCCUCCUCAUCCUCUUCUUCCUCCUCCUCCUCAGGUAUAGCAAAGAUUUAAAUAUAUGUGCAUUAUUCAAGAAAAAGAUUUACAUGGGGAAACAAUCCCCCAUACUUGAAGUCAUUGAAGUAUUUGAAACUCCAAUACUGUUUCUCCACAUUCUCUUCUAGAGUCGAUCUGUCC